rnacentral:rRNA from 1 species
AUUGAACGCUGGCGGCAGGCCUAACACAUGCAAGUCGAGCGGAUGAAGGGAGCUUGCUCCUGGAUUCAGCGGCGGACGGGUGAGUAAUGCCUAGGAAUCUGCCUGGUAGUGGGGGAUAACGUCCGGAAACGGGCGCUAAUACCGCAUACGGCCUGAGGGAGAAAGUGAGGGAUCUUCGGACCUCACGCUAUCAGAUGAGCCUAGGUCGGAUUAGCUAGUUGGUGGGGUAAAGGCCUACCAAGGCGACGAUCCGUAACUGGUCUGAGAGGAUGAUCAGUCACACUGGAACUGAGACACGGUCCAGACUCCUACGGGAGGCAGCAGUGGGGAAUAGUGGAAGAUGGGCGAAAGCCUGAUCCAGCCAUGCCGGGUGUGUGAAGAAGGUCUUCGGAUUGUAAAGCACUUUAAGUUGGGAGGAAGGGCAGUAAGUGAAUACCUUGCUGUUUUGACGUUACCAACAGAAUAAGCACCGGCUAACUUCGUG